UAAAGUUCAAUGCAAAAGCAAAGUACAAUCAACAAAAACGUUGGCGAGUAUACAAGUUUGAUACAUAGCAUAGUAGAAUAAAAUGUUUAAAUGUGCUCAUAUCCAACAUGAAUAAAAUGAUACAAGUUACUACUUUGCCAUUCAAUAUCGUUCAACAUCGUUCAACAUCGUUCAACAUCGUUCAAUAUCGUUCAACAUCGUUCAACAUCGUUCAACAUCGUUCAAAUAUCGU
rnacentral:lncRNA from 1 species